GGAUGGGUGGCAGAGCGGUUGAAUGCACCGGUCUUGAAAACCGGCAACGGCGAAAGUCGUUCGUGGGUUCAAAUCCCACCCCAUCCG
rnacentral:tRNA from 1 species